GCUAGUUGUAUUAUUAGUUAAUGCAAGAUCGACUACGUCGACUAAAGUUCUAGGUAGAAUAAUGAUGAUGACAAUUUUUUACCUAUAUGUCUUGACCAAGUCUCGUGCCAGCAGUCGCGGUAAUACGUGGAAGACUAGUGUUAUUCAUCUUUAUUAGGUUUAAAGGGUACCUAGACGGUAUUUCUAGCCCAAAAUAGGGUACGGAUUUACUAGAGUUUUAUGUGAGGAGGGGAGUACUCAUGGAGUAGAGAUGAAAUUUUGUUAUACUAUGAGGUAACUGGUGGCGGCGAAAGCAACCUUCUAUGUAUAAACUGACGUUGAGGGACGAAGGCUUGGGUAGCAAAUAGGAUUAGAUACCCUAGUAGUCCAAGCAGACAAUUCUGAAUGCCAUAGAUUAGAUUAUUUUUGGUCUAUAAAUGAAAGUGUAAGCAUUCCACCUUAGGAGUAAUGUGGCAACACAGGAACUGAAAUCAUUAGACCGUUUCUGAAACCAGUAGUGAAGUAUGUUAUUUAAAUUGAUGGUCCACAAAAAACCUUACCACAACUUGAAUAUUUUUUUAAUUAAUACAAGCGUUGCACGGCUGUCUUCAGUUAAUGUCGUGAGAUUUUGGUUAACUCCAUUAAUUAACGUAAACCCUUACUUUAUUUUUUUUU
rnacentral:rRNA from 1 species